rnacentral:rRNA from 1 species
UUGAACGCUGGCGGCAUGCCUAACACAUGCAAGUCGAACGUGAAAGGGGGCAACCCCGAGUAGAGUGGCGGACGGGUGAGUAACGCGUAGGAAUCUACCUGGUAGUGGGGGACAACCCGGCGAAAGCCGGGCUAAUACCGCAUACGAUCCACGGAUGAAAGCAGGGGACCGCAAGGCCUUGCGCUAUCAGAUGAGCCUGCGUCGGAUUAGCUAGUUGGUGAGGUAAUGGCUCACCAAGGCAACGAUCCGUAGCUGGUUUGAGAGAACGACCAGCCACACUGGGACUGAGACACGGCCCAGACUCCUACGGGAGGCAGCAGUGGGGAAUAUUGGACAAUGGGGGCAACCCUGAUCCAGCAAUGCCGCGUGUGUGAAGAAGGCCUUCGGGUUGUAAAGCACUUUCGAUGGGGACAAACGUGUCCGGCCUAAUACGCCGGGCCUUGAUGGUACCCAGAGAAGAAGCACCGGCUAACUCUGU